GAGAAAUUUUUGCCCCCUCCAAGAGCCAAUUCUCACCCUGUUGGGGACAGUACAGUGUCAUCCGUAAUGACAGCAUAUGUUCCAAAUAUGUUUUUAUUUAAUCCUCACAGAGUGAGAGAAAAGGGAGGUUGUGAAGAAAUGAUGGAAAGCAAUGCAAGUAAUGCAGUACUGAUAUGGUUUGGCUGUGCUCCCACCCAAAUCUCACCUAGUUUCAUGUGAUGAUAGACGCAAAAUUGGAGUGACGCAUCUACAAGCCGAGAAACACCAUGGAUUGCCAGCAGCACCAGGAGCUGGAAGAGGCAAAAACGGAUGCUCCCCUACAUGCUUUACAGAGAGUAAGGCCCUGCCAAGACCUUGAUUUCAUACUUCUAGCCUUCAGGACUUUGAGACAAAAAAAAAUCCUGUUGUUUUCAGCCACUCAGUAUGUGGUCAUUUGUCGUGUCGGCCCUGGCAUACUAAUGCAGGUGUGAAGAGGCAUAUGGCAGAAGAGCGUUUGUCAUGGUACAAAGAGUGCUGGGCUGGUUUCAGAAGAAAUAAUAUCUUAUGCUUCUCACUGGAGAGAUCUUUCUGACGUUA
rnacentral:lncRNA from 1 species